GGUGGCUCAGUGGUAGAGUGCUUGUCUUGCAUGCAUUAGGCCCUAGGUUCGAAUCCUCAGCACCA
rnacentral:tRNA from 1 species